UACGAAGGGUGCAAGCGUUACUCGGAAUUACUGGGCGUAAAGAGCGCGCAGGCGGUCGUGCAAGUCGCGUGUGAAGCCUCCGGACUCAACUGGGGAGGGUCACGCGAUACUGCUCGACUCGAAGGCAGGAGAGGGAAGUGGAAUUCCCGGUGUAGUGGUGAAAUGCGUAGAUAGUCGGGAGGAACACCAGUGGCGAAGGCGACUUCCUGGCCUGUUCUUGACGCUGAGGCGCGAAAGCUGAGGGGAGCAAACGGGG
rnacentral:rRNA from 1 species